UACGUAGGUGGCAAGCGUUGUCCGGAAUUAUUGGGCGUAAAGCGCGCGCAGGCGGUCCUUUAAGUCUGAUGUGAAAGCCCACGGCUCAACCGUGGAGGGUCAUUGGAAACUGGGGGACUUGAGUGCAGAAGAGGAAAGCGGAAUUCCACGUGUAGCGGUGAAAUGCGUAGAGAUGUGGAGGAACACCAGUGGCGAAGGCGGCUUUCUGGUCUGUAACUGACGCUGAGGCGCGGAAAGCGUGGGGAGCAAACAGG
rnacentral:rRNA from 1 species